rnacentral:miRNA from 1 species
GGCGUCGAUAUUCGACGUCAUAAACACGAUCAACUAUAGUGUUGAUGACGUCGAUGUUCGACGUCAUAAACACCGUAUCAACUUAGAUAUUUAUGACGUUGAUAUUCGACGUCAUAAACACGAUCAACUUUGCGGUGUUUAUGACGUCGAUAUUCGAAGUCAUAAACACGAUCAAUUUUGGUGUUUAUGACGUCGAUCUUCGACGUC